UACGUAGGUGGCAAGCGUUGUCCGGAUUUACUGGGUGUAAAGGGCGUGCAGCCGGGCUGACAAGUCAGAUGUGAAAAUCCAGGGCUCAACUCUGGACGUGCAUUUGAAACUAUUGGACUUGAGUACCGGAGAGGUUAUCGGAAUUCCUUGUGUAGCGGUGAAAUGCGUAGAUAUAAGGAAGAACACCAGUGGCGAAGGCGGAUAACUGGACGGCAACUGACGGUGAGGCGCGAAAGCGUGGGGAGCAA
rnacentral:rRNA from 1 species